CCUACGGGAGGCAGCAGUGAGGAAUAUUGGUCAAUGGUGGAAACCCUGAAGCAGCAACGCCGCGUGGAGGAUGAAGGUUUUCGGAUUGUAAACUCCUUUUGUUAGAGAAGAUAAUGACGGUAUCUAACGAAUAAGCACCGGCUUACCCCGUGACAGAUGCCGUGGUAAUACGGAGGGUGCAAGCGUGAUUCGGAAUCGCUGGGCGUAAAGAGCGCGUAGGCGGGGUAGCAAGUCCGGUGUGAAAUCCUAUGGCUUAACCAUAGAACUGCAUUUGAAACUGUUAUUCUAGAGUAGGGGAGAGGUAGGUGGAAUGCGUGGUGUAGGGGUAAAAUCCGUAGAGAUCAAGAAGAAUACUCAUUGCGAAGGCGACGUGCUAGAACCUAACUGACGCUGAUGCGCGAAAGCGUGGGGAGCGAACAGGAUUAGAUACCCGGGUAGUC
rnacentral:rRNA from 1 species